rnacentral:rRNA from 1 species
CCAAUAGCGUAUAUUAAAGUUGUUGCAGUUAAAAAGCUCGUAGUUGAAUUUCGAGAUCAGUACGCUGGUCGUGCCUUCGGUAUGCACUGGUGUCACUGGUUUCUCCCUUCUGAAGAACCGUCAUGCCAUUCAGUUGGUGUGGCGGGGAAUCAGGACUGUUACUUUGGAAAAAUUAGAGUGUUUAAAGCAGGCUCGCGCUUGAAUACAUUAGCAUGGAAUAAUGAAAUAGGACGUUUGACCCUAUUUUGUUGGUUUCUAGGAUCGACGUAAUGGUUAAUAGGGAUAGUUGGGGGCAUUAGUAUUCAAUUGUCAGAGGUUAAAUUCUUGGAUCUAUUGAAGACUAACUACAGCGAAAGCAUUUGCCAAGGAUGUUUUCAUUAAUCAAGAACGAAAGUUAGGGGAUCGAAGACGAUCAGAUACCGUCGUAGUCUUAACCAUAAACUAUGCCGACUAGGGAUCGGAUGAUGUUAAUUUUUUAAUGACUCAUUCGGCGCCUUACG